AGGAUGAAAUAAUGCUUCCAUAUUGUGGGAACCGUAUUCAUGUCUGUCCCUAGGAGUGCUGGUUCAAUGACUAGGGUGAUUAUUGCAAACAAAUAGCUGCAGAGAAGAUUCCAAGAAAGGAAGUCACACACACAAGAAUAGUGAGGAAAAGAGGCGGUAGAAGUGAGUUCUGACAAAAUUGCUCUGCUAAAGUGUUCUUUGACCCACAGUGGCAUGUUCUCCAAUUCUCUAAAUUAUACGGCAAGGAACAGAGAGGAAGAAUGAGACUCCAUGGAAGAAGAACUGACACAACUCAGUCAACUGACUGUAGAAAACCAAGAAAGGAGGGAAGGAACUUCCAGUCUGCACGAAUGGAAGAAUACCGAUUUUAUUUAUAGAAACUGACAAGAAGCACUUUGUACCAUGUGAUACCACAGUGCUCUGCCUGAUU